GGGCCGGCUGCUCUUCAGGCAGGCGUGUGUUUGUGGGAGAGGUGCACUGUUAAUGGCUCUGAGGCUCUGAAGCUCCGUCCAACUAUGGCUUAAAGGGAAGCUAAUAAAAACUUCACGGAGAUUUAGAGACAACUAAUGACAUCAGGAACGUUGGCUGCCAUGCCUACCUGCUCUAGUUCUCGUUUGGAAAUUCCCCAUGCUCAGCUGUGAAAGAACAGAAUGGAAACCAAUCAAGGGACGGGGGAUAUUGAUAUCUAGCCUACAUGGAUGGAGAAGACAUCGAAAGAUAGGGAGAAUGACAUCACAAAACCUUCAAUGCCUUCCAGUCCACAGGGAGGCGGUCACU
rnacentral:lncRNA from 1 species